AAGAGCUGCUUCUUGGACGUUUCCUCCCUAAACUCGGGCCGUGGUUUUUCCACGGCCCCUUUUUCUGUCCGCC
rnacentral:sRNA from 1 species